rnacentral:lncRNA from 1 species
AGUGAGUCCUUACUGUAGACGAGUUUGAUUUUCCACUUUUUUCGUAUUUCGAUUACAGCUAGAGCUGUAAAGUUAUCAAUUGAUUCCAGUUCUGAUGAACAAGGAAGACAAUAUGAAUAAUAGAUCAAAGCGUAUAAUCAAGCUUUUCUUCAUUUAAACAAGCUAAAAGGUUACAAAAAAGAUCAGGAAGAGAGGAAGAAGGUGAAAGGAGUUUCUGAGGGCUACAAGAACAUUAUUCAAUCAUUGAAAGGCAAGAAGAAAAUCCAUUCAAUAUAUCGAAAUAUAAAAUUAAUUUCAAUCCCUCAACCUUCAUUAAUUAUGGAAUUAUCUUUUGACAAUAUUUUGGACAGGAUGGAGGCCACGGACCCUUAAUCCUCCUGAUAAGGACAUUAGAUGGACUGAAAAUAACUUUCAUUCUACAAAGAAUUUCGAUGUUGAACAAUGUUGCUAGUAACAUAGUUCAUAUUAUUCACUUGAUAAUUAUUAAUAAUUCAACCCACAAACAGCAUUGGAUCCUUCAUCUUAAUUAUGGGAGUCUCUAGGGACACAAAGUAUUUAAGAAGUUAACCCCAAAAUUGUUUUGUAGUUGUUUUGCUUCUUUGUUUGUUUGUUUUAUUUAGUUUUUCUUGGAAAGAAAUUAUUAAUUCAUACAUAGUUUUAAAAGAAGAUGUAAAUUCUUUUCAUCAACAAAGUACGGCUCUGCCUGCUUUUACUCAUUCAUAAUAUAUAACUUCAUUAUUAAAAA